AUUGAACGCUGGCGGCAGGCUUAACACAUGCAAGUCGAGCGGGGGAAGGUAGCUUGCUACUGGACCUAGCGGCGGACGGGUGAGUAAUGCUUAGGAAUCUGCCUAUUAGUGGGGGACGACAUCUCGAAAGGGAAGCUAAUACCGCAUACGUCCUACGGGAGAAAGCAGGGGAUCUUCGGACCUUGCGCUAAUAGAUGAGCCUAAGUCGGAUUAGCUAGUUGGUGGGGUAAAGGCCUACCAAGGCGACGAUCUGUAGCGGGUCUGAGAGGAUGAUCCGCCACACUGGGACUGAGACACGGCCCAGACUCCUACGGGAGGCAGCAGUGGGGAAUAUUGGACAAUGGGGGGAACCCUGAUCCAGCCAUGCCGCGUGUGUGAAGAAGGCCUUAUGGUUGUAAAGCACUUUAAGCGAGGAGGAGGCUACUUUAGUUAAUACCUAGAGAUAGUGGACGUUACUCGCAGAAUAAGCACCGGCUAACUCUGUGCCAGCCGCCGCGGUAA
rnacentral:rRNA from 1 species